AGUGCAGCCAUAUCAGCACUCGGGGCACCCAAAGCCCAGAAAUUCUGUUACUCUUGCAGACUCCUGGUGGUACUGCCUUGAUGGACUUGGAACUCAUCAAAAUAAUUAGAAGACAUUUACAACUCAGUGCUAAUCCAGCCUUCUUUCCGUUGGUGACUAGACAAAGCACGGUACCCCUUGGUAGAAUGAAGAUAAUAAGCGUGAUGAACAAUGUAAUAGAAAAUUGUGGGAAGCAGUGGAACAGACACUCCAUAAGAGAACGUAUCCAGGCCGGGCGCUGUGGCUCACGCCUGUAAUCCUAGCUCUUGGGAGG